AGUCGAGCGGUAGGCCCUUUCGGGGGUACACGAGCGGCGAACGGGUGAGUAAUACGUGGGUGACCUGCCCUCAGCUCUGGGAUAAGCCUGGGAAACCGGGUCUAAUACCGGAUAUGACCUCAUGGCGCAUGCUGUGGGGUGGAAAGCCUUGUGCGGCUGAGGAUGGGCCCGCGGCCUAUCAGCUUGUUGGUGGGGUGAUGGCCUACCAAGGCGAUGACGGGUAGCCGGCCUGAGAGGGCGACCGGCCACACUGGGACUGAGACACGGCCCAGACUCCUACGGGAGGCAGCAGUGGGGAAUCUUGCGCAAUGGGCGAAAGCCUGACGCAGCGACGCCGCGUGAGGGAUGACGGCCUUCGGGUUGUAAACCUCUUUCAGCUCCGACGAAGCGGAAGUGACGGUAGGAGCAGAAGAAGCACCGGCCAACUACGUGCCAGCAGCCGCGGUAAUACGUAGGGUGCGAGCGUUGUCCGGAAUUAUUGGGCGUAAAGAGCUCGUAGGCGGUUUGUCGCGUCGGCUGUGAAAACUCGGGGCUCAACUCUGAGCUUGCAGUCGAUACGGGCAGACUAGAGUUCGGCAGGGGAGACUGGAAUUCCUGGUGUAGCGGUGAAAUGCGCAGAUAUCAGGAGGAACACCGGUGGCGAAGGCGGGUCUCUGGGCCGAUACUGACGCUGAGGAGCGAAAGCGUGGGGAGCGAACAGGAUUAGAUACCCUGGUAGUCCACGCCGUAAACGUUGGGCGCUAGGUGUGGGAUCCCUUCCACGGGUUCCGUGCCGCAGCUAACGCAUUAAGCGNCCCGCCUGGGGAGUACGGCCGCAAGGCUCAAACUCAAAGGAAUUGACGGGGGCCCGCACAAGCGGCGGAGCAUGUGGAUUAAUUCGAUGCAACGCGAAGAACCUUACCUGGGUUUGACAUACACCGGAAAACCGUGGAGACACGCGCUCCGCAAGGCCGGUGUACAGGUGGUGCAUGGCUGUCGUCAGCUCGUGUUGUGAGAUGUUGGGUUAAUUUUUGCAACGAGCGCAACCCUUGUCCCAUGUUGCCAGCGGGUGAUGCCGGGGACUCAUGGGAGACUGCCGGGGUCAACUCCGAGGAAGGUGGGGACGACGUCAAACCAUCAUGCCCCUUAUGUCCAGGGCUUCACACACGCUACAAUGGUCGGUACAGAGGGCUGCUAAACCGUGAGGUGGAGCGAAUCCCACAAAA
rnacentral:rRNA from 1 species